rnacentral:lncRNA from 1 species
CGCCACUAAAGAUAAAAAAAUAAAUAAAUAAAUAAAAACAGCCACUACCUAAACCUAGCCUUUUCUUCCCUAUCCCAUACAAUCCCUCUUGCCCUAAAGUCGUCGCCACUACCACCCAGGCAAUCGACCGCCACCGCCAUCCAGGCUGCUAAACAUCAUUGCCACUGCCACCCAAUAAAGGAUGAAUGAGAGUGUGAUGGAUUUCUUUUCUUCAUAUCUAAAAACCGAAAUUGAUUUUGAAACCGGAUUUGAUUUUGAGGUUUUGUUAUUGUUGUGGUAUAAGUGGUGGUUCUAGUGAAUGACAGUGGUGAGGAAAAUUGAUGGAGGAGGUGGCAGUCAGAUGAUGGCGGUGGCGGUGGCAUGAAUGUUCACUACACAGCUUGUUUACCUUGUAUAUUUUUAUACCCAAAUUGCAUUUUUGAGUCAAAAGAUGAACGUUGUCUUGUCGACAAUUGGGUUAUGUUGGUUGUGUGGUGGAGAUGUUGUGGUGUGAUGGAGAUUGAGGCACCAGAAUUUGGAGCUAGCGUUGCG